UACGGGAGGCAGCGGUGGGGAAUAUUGCACAAUGGGCGAAAGCCUGAUGCAGCUAUGCCGCGUGUAUGAAGAAGGCCUUAGGGUUGUAAAGUACUUUCAUCGGGGAGGAAAAAAACAAAACUAAUAAUUUUAUUUCUUGACGUUACCCGAAAAAGAAGCACCGGCUAACUCCGUGCCAGCAGCCGCGGUAAUACGGAGGGUGCUAGCGUUAAUCAGAAUUACUGGGCGUAAAGAGCACGUAGGUGGUUUUUUUAAAGUCAGAUGUGAAAUCCCUGGGCUUAACCUAGGAACUGCAUUUUGAAACUGAAAUACUAGAGUAUCGUAGAGGGAGGUAGAAUUCUAGGUGUAGCGGUGAAAUGCGUAGAUAUCUGGAGGAAUACCUGUGGCGAAAGCGGCCUCCUAAACGAAUACUGACACUGAGGGUGCGAAAAGCGUGGGGAGCAAAACAGGGAUUAGAUACC
rnacentral:rRNA from 1 species